AUACCAAGAAAGCUCUCAGGGAGUUCCCUUGUGGCUGGCUUCCUUAAGAAUCUGUCCCUGUCACAGCUGUGGCUAUGGUGAGAGCUGCGUGGGGAGAUCAAACCCUGACCAGGCAACUCCCGAUGUUGCAGGUGGCACCCAAAUAAAUGAAUCAAGAAAAGUAAAUAUUUUGAAGAAGGCAAUAAAUUGAUGAAGUCAGUACAUACAUAUAGAUAUGCCUACAUAGUAGCUAAGUGAAUUGACAGAGAAAGGCAUGAAAAAGGCUCUCCUGAUAUGAUGCUUGUGGUGGCAGAGGGUUGUGUGUACGAGCCUGGGGUAGUAACAGCCCUGGGGUGGAUUCAGUUCCUGGCCAGACAAUAUCUGCAUGCCACAAGUGGGUCCAGAAAAAUAAAUCAGAAUAAAUCAAUACAGAUGUAAGAAAUUAAUAAAUUCAUACACCGAGAUAAUCACUUCAGGUGAUUAUUAUGUGAAGGAAGAAAGAAGGCUCCCACAGCACAGUGGGCGGGGUUAGGGUUCCGGCAGAGGGAUUUACACAAUACCCUUGGGUAAGUUGGGCUGAGUGUCCUGGGAAAUUUUGAGAGAGAAAUCCCCCACUUCCUAGGGCACUUCAUGGCGCUCAGAGGGAGAGGAAGUCUCAAGGGAAAGCCGCAGGCUUGCCCAACUCCAGUGCAGCCCCCAGGAGAGCUGAGCAGACAGGAGGAAGGCAGGCACGAGAGCUGCUGUUAGGGCCGAUGUCCACAAGACGGCGCCAGAGUACCUUCCUGCGGACCCGCGUGCAGCUCCAAGGCGGCGGGGUCCAGGCUCAGAGAUGUGGCUGAUGAUGCAUUUGUCGGAAGCCUCAGCAGCACCCAGAAAUUCCGGAUUGUUUUCCGGGCACCUGUGACUCUCUGGCCCAAGAUGUCUCAGGUCAGGGGUGUUUCCUUCAGCAUUUGAUGUGGAUUUACAGCCUGGUCGUGUGUCACAGCAGUGAGAAAGCUUGACAGGUUCAGUGGGGUCAGAUGGCCUGUUGUUUCUCGAGAGGCAGGAGGCUGGACCCAGAUACCGUCUCUAGUGAGCCUUCAGCUGCUGUGCUCCUCCCUGGGCUUUUUCUCUCCAGAGGUCUCCUGAAUAAACCUGGUAUGUGUGAGGGGCUACACGGGGUCAUUGUUACAAUGGCUCUUUCUGCCGACCCUCGGGACCGAGCACCUGCUCAAGCAACAUCCUGUUUUCACCACUGGUGCUGGCUUUCCCAAGACCGUGAGACCCCCCUACCACGGGACACCACACACCUCCAGCUUUCCCAAGAUUACGAGGCCACCACAGUCCAGCUGCAGGUGAAAGGUCAACUAACCUCCCCCCCGCUUCAGGGAAUCAAUUUCCCAUCCACGGGGUAUAAGAAGGCCCCGGCAGAAGUGGGGGGACUGGCUCUUCUCAGGGUCAGUCACCCUCUCCUUUCCCUGUAAUAAAUUUCCUUCUCUUUGUCUGAACACCCGGCUUGUUCUCUUUUUUCUGCACUCGCCUUACAGUAUGAAGACCUGAUGAAAAGCCAGAUCUGGUGAAUCAAGUCCAAUAGUUUGAUAUAAAGAAAACUCUCCCAGAGAUCCCUCCUGGGCCCCUGGGUAAAGGAUCUGUCUUUGUCCCUGCGGUGUGUUUAGAAUCUUCUGAGGCUUGAAAUCCGUCAAUGGGCUGACAAGUCACAUAUGUUUCAGGUAGGUUUAAUAAAGUAAGAAAAAGAGGAAGAAAAGCA
rnacentral:lncRNA from 1 species